GAAGGAGCUGGGGUGAGACACAGAGAGAGACCAGGCUUCAGGGACCCUAGUGGAGUCCAUGGGGUCAACAUCCCUGAUGUCCUUGUCCAUGUGCUCCCUGCCCUGGGGAUCGUGCUGACCCUGAGCCUCACUCUGAUCCUGGAGAAGCAGUGGAGCAGUGGGGACAGUUGAAGACAGUCCCCAGGGAGGAGGCACAGCAGACAUUCCCACAGUCACAGGAGUGAUUAUAGCUGGAUGACUGUUCCCUCCAUGUGGGAAUCUCUCAGCCACAGACAGUGUAUCCAUGUUCCUUGCAUCAGACCCCACAUGCUGCUUCAUACAGUCUUUCAUGUCACAGCUGAAGGAUGUCCUGCAGUCGUCACCAGAACCACAAGGGCAGGGCCCGACCUUGACAUUGGUUAUGGAGAGGCUGAGACCCUCACAACACAGGACCUUCUGUUCCUGAAGGGACAACCCUGGCUCCCACCCUCUG